ACAAGUGGAACUCUUCCCUCAAGAGGUUGGACGAGUCGACAAAAACCUGUCUCUGCUUGUGGGAUGGGGCUGUCUGCUUCUCUCUCGAAGCGGAUGCAGUCCCAGAGAGGAGAGAUUUCAAGGUUAGGUUGUCCUCGGAGGGGGAGGCUGACGACUUUGUGGACACUUUUAACAAGAGCGUGGAGAAAGCACAUGACGAAUCAAUACGGAAACGGCACAUAGUUUGGUACCUCCAGAACAAGAGGGACUACAAAAAUACGACAAGUAACGCAUCCGCCUCAUCAUCAUCUUCAUCUCAACAAUUCUAGGGAACCAUUUUCCGAAAAAUUUUCCAUAAUGACUCGCCGUGAAAAUUAAUUAAGUGAUUACUUAACUUGAGUUAUAGCAUAUAUUUAAACGAUUGAAGCAUCAAUGGUGGUGAUCAAAAAAUUUGUAAUAAUUGGUUUAUUAAAUAUUAAGUCGAUAAAUAUGUAUGUACCAAACUCCUUAAGAAUAAAUAAACUGAGAAAAAAAUCGA